rnacentral:rRNA from 1 species
GACGAACGCUGGCGGCGUGCCUAAUACAUGCAAGUCGAACGGUCUUUUCUAUGGAAGCUUGCUUCCACUGAGAAGAUAGUGGCGAACGGGUGAGUAACACGUGGGUAACCUGCCCAUAAGAGGGGGAUAACAUCCGGAAACGGGUGCUAAUACCGCAUAGUUUUCUUGAUCGCAUGAUCGGGAAAGGAAAGACGGCCUUUGUGCUGUCGCUUAUGGAUGGACCCGCGGCGUAUUAGUUAGUUGGUGAGGUAACGGCUCACCAAGACGAUGAUACGUAGCCGACCUGAGAGGGUGAUCGGCCACAUUGGGACUGAGACACGGCCCAAACUCCUACGGGAGGCAGCAGUAGGGAAUCUUCCGCAAUGGACGAAAGUCUGACGGAGCAACGCCGCGUGAGUGAAGAAGGUUUUCGGAUCGUAAAACUUUGUUGUCAGAGAAGAACAAGUUGGAGAGUAACUGCUCCAGCCUUGACGGUAUCUGACCAGAAAGCCACGGCUAACUACGUGCCAG